UACGGAGGUCCCAAGCGUUGUUCGGAAUUACUGGGCGUAAAGGGUGCGCAGGCGGAUAGUUAAGUCUAAAGUGGAAGCCCGGGGCUCAACCUCGGAACUGCUUCGGAUACUGGCUAUCUUGAGUUCGUGAGAGGAAAGCGGAAUUCAGGGUGUAGCGGUGAAAUGCUUAGAUAUCCUGAGGAACACCAAUGGCGAAGGCAGCUUUCUGGCGCGAUACUGACGCUGAGGCUCGAAAGCGUGGGGAGCGAACGGG
rnacentral:rRNA from 1 species